AGGACUAAAAAAUUAGCCACUCACAAAGCAGCAUUCGUCCAAGUCAUCUUGGCUUCUCAUUGUUUUUUUGGGCUCUGGACGUUCUGGGCCUGUUUGUUCUUUAGUCUAUAGCCCACAAACCCUUCAACGCUAAUUUGGAUCGUCGCAGUCGAGCUACGACUCUUGACUCUUGCACUCACCCUCAACGUUCCAAACAAGAAAUUCAUCCGUCUGCAACUCGCCCUUAAAGUGAAUUAAAGAUAUGCCCUCUAAAUCACUCAAUUCGAUUCUUUACUCAUUUCUUCGUGAGAUAUGGCAUCGUUCCAUCUCCCUUUCUUUCUCCUCCAAUAUAAACCCAGUUGUAAAUCUUACUUUCAACCAAAAUCUAAAAAUUCUGUGGAAGAACAUAAAGCUAUGGCCAUAAAAUCUGUUCAGUCCUACGGCGAGUCUCCACUGCUCAAUUUUCCGUCGACGUGUGAACCUUGGUUCUAUUAAUUCAGGUUACAUAUGAUUAACAAUUGAAGUCUCGAUGGAAAUUCCAAUGAUUCUAGACGGUUGAAUCAUCAAAAACUUCACUAACUCAGGUACUAUGCUCUAAUCUGAAACCAUGUUGUUCUGUUUGUUUCUUGGUGUCAUUGUUGGGUUCUGUUUCACCUCUCCGUUCGCAAGAGAGUUUAUUUGGGUGAAUAAUGGAGCGGUCCAGCCGCACCAGUGAAAAAGGUUUGCCUUCUGACAAUCGGACCCAUCACUUGAAUGGAUCAGUCCUCGAAUCAUAUUGAAUUAGCGUUUUGUGAAAAUUAGUUACCAAAACGUGGUGUUUGUAGUUUGAUUGUGGCAGUUAGUGUUGCGGGCGAAGGAAGUGAAUCUUACCCGGAACGACCCGACUAGCCCUUCGUCUUUUCAUUGUCGGCAAAAAAACCUAAAGUAAUCAAGGAUUUCCCGAGGUAGUCUGCAGAAUGGACAUGAUGGUAAACAAUAUUAUUUUUCAUUUCUAUGAGCAUACUACUUAAGUCAUAGUGUAAAGGUAAAUAUUGGUCGUGUCAUGGUUGUUUUGUGUUUUGUAUGUUUACACAAAAGCAAGAAAAAACUGAAGAUCCCACUAGACAGGUUAGAAUUAUUACAAUUACAAUUUCAAUCACAAGAACACCAUUCGUUUACACACCUUCCGACUUCUAUCAAAAGUCUUCUUGAUACUAUGUUAAACAUCUCUUCUUUUAGUAAUACCAAUAUAAAUAACAUUUGUUACUUUGUUGUUUUUGUUUCUUUGUGAAUGAAACAUUGUAAAUGUUUCAACUUGGUGUCAAGAUUGGAGAGAGAGUACUUAUACAGCAAUCUUGCGGGAAGUGAUCAAAGCUCGGGUGACGACUCUCAACAUAUCUGACAUUGUUCACAUAACCUUAACAAUGGGACAAUCACAUAUAAAGCAGAAGAACUGAAGUAAGGAUUAUCCAAAUUUGAAUCUAGACUCACAGAGGUAGAAGUGAAGCAGCUCAUGAAAGUUGGAUGGGCUAAUCUGAUUGCAUCAAGUUCAUUCCUGCAACAUUGCUUGAAAGUAUUGAGAAUCUUCACAAAGCCUUCCAGAAUUAGACAAAGACAGUAACAAAGACGAAUAAGAAGCUGUGCUGGAGGAAUAUGGAAUGGAAAUGAUGCAACAGUUAAAGAGGUUCCCUCAGAUGACAAUUCAUAUAACAUGAGCUUAAAAAAUGUCAUCAUCAUUUCUGGGUGCCGUUUUUGAUCAAUGUCUUUCUCCAGUUAAGUUCCUCUCACGGCAGAGCUUCACUUUGAUUGAAGAGAUAUUAUCCUUCACUUUUUUAUUUUUAUGAUCUUUUAAUGUAACACAUACUUCUCAUGUUAUAUGUCUUUAAUAUAGCAUCUGUAAUCUCUAUAACAUUAUGGACGACCAGUAUGCUCAUUUUGAACUAUGCAUGACAGCUCUUGCAUGGGCUGUUAACAAAAGGUUACUGAUAUGCUGAGAGAAUAGAAUGACUCAUUGAAUGCGUGAUGGAAAUUGAACUCCUCACAAGAAUACACGAACACUUGGUGUAUUUAAUAAAAAUUAUAAUUAGUUUCUUUUUAUGUUGUUGUCGUAUUAUUUUCAGAAAAUAAAAAGUUAUAGGUCUAAAAACAGUUUUUUUUUUUUUAAUAUUAGUAUGUGAUUUUAGAAACUAUAGAUUGAUUGCUUAGGAAUUAGGAGAAAUAAGACAAGUAAUUAACAGAUUUUUUACAGUUUGGUUUUGGGUUUAUAUAUUAUCCAAAUUCUUAUUGAACACGAAAGAUGUAAACUUUUUAAAAAUUCAAGUAAAACAAAAAACAAACAAAAACAAAUAAAUUUCUAACAUUGCUUGAUAAGGCUAAUGUAUAAACACAAAAUAGUUGGUAAUACUAUAAACAUAUAAUACAAUACUAAAAAAAUAUAUAAUUUGUUUUAUUGGUCUGUAGCAUCACUCCAUAAAGAGAACGAUGUUGAAAUUACAAAGUAGUUGACUGAAGAUAAAAUUUGAUUAAAUUUUUUUUUGGAAUAGAAGAUGGUUAUUAUUAACCUUAUUAACAUUUUCGAACUGUAACCAGUGGCCAAUCUGCAUAGGUUUUGGGAAGAGCAACUGCCACCUAUGAUUUUGUGGAAGUUGUUUAAAAACUUUUUAUGUUUGAUCUUUUUUAUAUGUUAUUUUAUAAGGUGAAUUGGUGAAAUAACAAAAAAAAAGUUGUAAAAAAACAGUUGUAGAAAGGAGAAGAGAUUUACAUACGAAAAUUGAAUUAUUUUUGCGGUUAGAAAGUGUAAUUUCUGUAUUUUAUACUUUUCUGUCCCGAAUGAAAAUAGAUUCUACAUCUGUUAGUGGUUGUAAUUUUCUAAGUUUUGAAAGAAGAUCACUAUUGUAAGUGUAAAUUCUGUAAAGUUCCUUUGUGAAAUGUGAAAAAAGUAUUAUAGUGAAAAUUCAGAUUAUCAAAUAUUUUUUACAUAUAGAAAGAAGAUUAAGUAAACAUUUCUGAUCUUUUACCUUCCAAUUUAUCAAUUAAAAAUAUUUUGUCUUUACAAAAGUUAUAGUGAAAAAUCAUCUCAUAUUUGAAAUUGGAGAAAAUUUUGAAGGCCAUGUUAAGUUUUUGGUUUUCAAAUAAUAUUCUGAUAUACUGAUUAACUUCAUGACUGUAUAACGUGAGCCAUCAUACAUUAGCUGUAUAAUAUAAUUUAUUUACAAAAUAGUAUAAUGAACAAUUAAAUAAGCAAAAUAACAUAAACAAUUUUUCAAAGCUUCCGUUUAAAAAGAUGAUUUUUUUCUAUCAGAAUUAUUUUUAUCUUAAAUUUUAUUUAAAAUUACACAUAUAUAGUUAAAAAUAACAAAAUAAAAAUACUAAGUUUUUAACUCAAUGUGACACAAAUAAAUUGAUGAUUCAAAAAUUGAAUGAAACAAAAAAUACGCCUAAAAUAAAAAAAAUCCUAGAAUUUUUAUAAUGAAAAAUUCCUAAAUUCUAAAUUAGCUGAUAUCUUAAGUAAAAUAACUAGCAUAUUGGUGAAUCUAUAAGAAUUACCAACAUUAUUGUAAUAUUAUAUUUUCAUACAAUACAAUUAAAUUCAUAAAAAAAUAUUAGAAGUUUCAAAUGGAAACUAAAUAUUAAAUACAAAAAAAACAUAUACAUCAUCCCACAUAAGAAAUAAGCAGAAUUCUAUAAAAAGGAAGAAAAAAAUAUUGUUCUCUACCAUCACAAUCUUUAUUGUCGUGCUUUUUAUUUGUUUCAUAAAAUAUAAUCCUAUUUUAAAACUAAAAAUUUGAUAUAUUGAACAAAAAAAUUUAAAGAAUAUUAUCCAUUUAUAAAUAAGUUAAAAUACAAAAUUUAUUGAAAUAUUAAAUUAACCAUAAUUAAGAAAAUAAGAUAAAACAAUAAAAGGUACAAUAUCAAAUAAUAAUAAAAUAGUAAACCGAUAAAAUUCAAAUAAAAAUUAUGUCUAUUCAAAAAAAUAGUAUGCCUUCAUUUGUAUUUAAAAUUUAAGUGAACUAAUUGCUUCUUUAAAAAUUUCAGGCUCUCUUUUCAUACAAUCUGCAUUACAUAUGCCUAUCAUUUCUUAGAAAUACUCUACCAUUUUAGUUCAGAUUUCUGUUUUUAUUCAUGGUAUCAACUUUUCCUCCUUUCAUACAGAAUUUAUCAAUUUUAAACAUGAUUCAAUCAUUAUUUCAGCUACCACACUCUUUCCUUACCGUACUCCACAUCACCAUAAAAUUUUAACUAUGGCAACCUUUCUCCACAUAUACUUAAAAUAAUCUAAUUUUUUAUGAUCCUACUAAAACCUUAGGAAUAUUUUAAAUAACAAGCUCCAUAUCUUCAAUUUUACCCGUCCAACAUUUAUUAAACAUAGCAACUAUAUUUUCUAAAUCUUUGAAGAUUUCUUUCUAAAUAAAACACAUUUUCCGCGCGUAGCGCGGAGAAAGACUCUAGUUUAUCUAACGAAAAGAAAGGAAAAACUAUAACUAUAUGUAUUUUGAAUUAAUGAUUCUCCUCUUUAAAGAUAUGGCAAUAUAGAAAACCAACUAAAAUAAUAAACUGACUAGAUAGUAACCCGCGCUUUGCGCGGGAUAAGAUGUCUAUAUUAAUGUUGAAAUUAUAUAUUAUGAUUAUGUAUAACAUAAAGUAUACUUUAACCGAUAGUUAGAUAGAGCUAAAAGUAUGAAUAUUAUCAGGGGUGAAGCUAUAGAAUUUUUUAUAAUGAGUUCACUAAUAUUAAAAUUUAAUAUACGGUGUUUGCAAGUUUGAGAAGAAGCUUUGGAAAAUAUUUUUUUAUAUUUCACCUAUCCUGUUGUAGUAGUUAUGGACUUAGGGGUUUAACACAUAAAAUCGAAAUAAAAGUGGAUCAAUGACAUAUUAUAAGCAAAACAAUAACUGUGUGAAAUAAAAAAAAAAGUAUAGCUCCUUUAAAUUCAAAAAAAAAAAUAGUUGCAUAAUAAAAGAAAUUGAAGGUUAUUUGACUCUCUAAAUUGUAAAUGUUGUUCUAGAUGCGACCAGCACGUGAGACUUGCUGGUGGUUCGUUCCUGGAAGUUUCUUCUCAUCUUCAAGGUCGUCUAAUGCAGAGCUCUCAUGGCGGCAAAAGUGGUAACACUCGGAUGCUUAUAUUGCUUGCUCGAGAAGACUAAUACGCUAAGCCGAAACGACUUACAGUGAUUCAGUCUCUUCGAAACAGAGAUCAACUCAUCGAGCAGUAACUAAAUCGAAUACGGCACAUUUAUCUUGAGAUAGAUUUUCAACGUUCUCUUUCAGCAAUGAGAGACGGUUCUCAAGAACGUGAGUGCUCUGCUAAAUGCAUGAAAGCAAGUAUGGAGAAAAGAGUUUUUUUCAUUAACACUUGGCAUUAUACUAAAGUUUCAUCGCUUUGUCGUCUCUACGGAUCUGUCGACUUAAUAGCGAUAGAUCAGAUGGGUUAGCGUUUUUAACAUAAACGUAUAGAGGAAUAAGGAAUCUUAAUUGAUGCUAUGAUUAUAUUGAGAAAAUUGAUAAAUCAAAUAAUCAAACUUGAAGCUGAAGGUUUAUCGUCGAGAAAAGUAUACAUGGUUUGAAUAUUUUUUAAAGGAAUGUUAGUGUGAACGCAUUAAAUGCACAGUUUUGGUGAAAAACGUUCUCUGCGUGACAGCUAAGCGUUUUACUAAAUAAAAGUUUCUCGUGAAACCACGUCACCACGUCACAUUCCUUGCCAAUAAACUUUUAAAGUAAGUUUUAAAAAUGCUUCUCCUUAUAUAGGGGAUCUUAUUUUGCAUACAAUAUAAUAGAUCCGGUUUAUUAAGGCAUUAAACCGGAAAUAAAUUUGGUGCCAUACAGUUAAAAAAAAUUUAUAUGGUCAAAUAAAACGUAUGAAUAUUUAUGUUUUUACGGCUGAUAUCUUGACCCAUCAUAUGAAUAUGGUCAAUUUCAAUAUAAUGUGCUCUAAAAAAAUAUGUAUGAUUUGCUAUUAAAUGUUUUCUAUGUUAGUUGAUUUGGAACAUGAAACCAUAAAAGGAAAUAUGUAUAUAUUUCGUGAAGGGAAUAGGUUAACAGGGGUUAUAAUAAUUGAAUUAAAGAUAUUAGUAUUAAAAAGUUAUUUUUGAUUGGUUGAAUUUGAAAGUGUAGAAAUUAACUAAAAAUUCUAAUAAGGAAAUGGUAUGCCAUUGUAAUUAACUUAAAAACUCAAGGACAAAAUCCUAGUUGAGAUUUUGCUUUAAUAUUAUAGAUUGAACUCUAAAAUUGGUAUAUAGAAAUUGAUUAUGUUCGAUGGACCUGGUAUUGUCAUAAUUAUAAUGAUAUAACUUUAAGACGAUAAUAGAUUUUGAUAUGCGCUUUAAAAGAGUGGGAUUAAUUUUUAUUCAAAACAUUAUUUACUGAGAAUUUAGAAAUUUUAUACAUAUGUAUUUUUAUAAAAGAUAUGUUUUUAAAAUAUAGAUAAUUAAAUUAAAAUUUACAUGAAUAUGAUUUUAUGAAAAAAAUGAGAGCUUUAAAUUAUAAUACAAAUUUAUUUUAUUACUAUCAACAACAAAUUUACAUGAAUAUGAUUUCAUUAAAAUUUACAUGAUAAUCCACCUGUAUUAAUUUUUCUUAUAUUUGAAAGCUUUAAAUUAUAAUACAAA